CCCUUAGAUGUUCUGGGCAGCACGCGCGCUACAAUGGUCUUCGCAAACGGAUGCAUUCUCGAAGGAGAAUGCCAAUCUUGGAAUCUAUGCCUUGGUCGGGACAGUUGCUUGCAAUUUUUCGACUCGAACCAGGAAUUCCUUGUAAUCGUGAUUCAUCACAUCACGAUGAAUACGUCCCUGCCCUUUGUACACACCGCCCGUCGCUCCUACCGAUCGAAGAGUUAGGUGAAUUGUUUUGAUCGAUAAGAUUUGACUAUGGUCAACUCUCGUUGUGAAAUUCUGUGAUUCUGACUGUUUAGAGGAAGGAAAAGUCGUAACA
rnacentral:rRNA from 1 species